AUAUGCUUAGUGGUUGCACAAAGCAUUAGCCACCACAAACACGGGCAGUGUGCAUCCUACUGGAGAGUGGAGAGGAAAGAAUUCGAAGGUUGGUGGCGAGAUGGAGGUGGUGGUGAGCGCCUCCGCGGGGGUGCUGGAGACCCUCCUCCCGAAGCUGGGCAAGAUGCUCACCGACGAAUACAAGUUGCACAAGGGCGCCAAGGAGGGGGUCCAGUACAUCCGGGAUGAGCUGGAGAGCAUGGGAGCUGCCCUUGCGAAGGUGUCCGAGGUGCCGCCAGAUCUGCUGGACAAGCAGGUCAAGCUCUGGGCGACCAAGGUGAGGAAGAUGUCCUACAACAUCGAGGACACCAUCGAUUCCUUCAUGGUGCUCGUCGAUGCUGCUGCUAGCGGCGAGUCUUGUUCUGGACCGUGCACGAGGUGCUGCUACGUGGCCGUGGGAGCCAAAUCCUUGCUGCCACGGACGUACAAGGCUCGGGGCGACAUCGCCGCCGAGAUCGAGCGCAUAAAGAAGGAGGUUGAGGAUGUGAGCAAGCGCCGUGAGAGGUACAAAGUUGACAGUAUUGUGGCCCCAGCCCCGUCCCCGUCUGCGUCCGACCCCCGCUUGCUAGCCUUGUACGAAGAUGAAGCAAAGCUUGUUGGCAUUGACCACUCCAGAGAAGAGAUAAUCAAGUUGUUGUCCAUGGAAGGCGACGGUGAAGGUCCAUCGGACUCGGAGCAGAAGCUCAAGUUGGUCUCCAUCGUUGGCCCUGGUGGAAUGGGCAAAACCACCCUUGCCAAUGCGGUGUAUCAAAAGCUUGAGGGCAAAUUCGAACGCACAGCUUUUGUUUCCGUUUCUCUUCAGCCUAAUAUGAAGAAUAUCCUCAGCAGUAUACUUCGUCAAGUCAGCAGCAAAAUCAAAGAUGAUGAGGAGGACAAUGAUGAUAAGAAUAAGAGAGUGCGUCGUCAAGAAAGCCAAAAACAUUAUGGAAACACUGAAACGUGGUCUGAAAAGGAGAUCAUCGACAAAAUCAGACAUGCUCUUGAGAAAAGGAGGUACUUGAUUCUCAUUGAUGAUAUAUGGGACGAAAAACCAUGGAAACUUAUCAAAUGUGUUCUGGCUGAAAACAAACUUGGCAGUAAAGUGAUCAUGACGACUCGCAAUGUUGAUGUUGCUAGAUCAUGUUGUUCUUCUGACAAAGUUGAUGGUAUUGUUCAUGAACUGCAGCCUCUUUCAAACUGUGACUCUGAAAAACUAUUCUAUUACAAAAUAUUUGGUAACUAUGGAUACCCUCCCGAAUUAAAGGUUGUAUCACAGAAAAUACUGGAGAAGUGCGAAGGCUGGCCAUUAGGUAUCAUUGCCAUAGCUAGUUUACUUGCAAACAAACCAUCACAAACUAAGGAUCAGUGGUGCAGUGUAUACAACUCAAUUAGUACUGGACUCGAAAUUAAUCAUGGUGUGAAGGACAUGAGGUUGAUAUUAUCUCUUAGCUACCGUGAUAUGCCUUUACAGCUGAGAGCUUGUCUUCUGUACCUGAGCAUAUUUCCGGAGGACCAAAUAAUUGGGAGAGAUGACUUGAUACGGAGAUGGAUAGCCGAAGAUUUAGUUCGUGGAAGACAAGAUGAUAACCUGUAUGAGUUAGGAGACAAGUACUUUAACGAGCUUAUUAAUAGGAGUAUGAUCCAGCCGACUGAUGUUGAUGCCUUUGGGAGGGCGCAAGCUUGUAAGGUACAUGAUUUGGUACUUGAAUUUAUUACUUUCUUGUCAGCUGAAGAAGACUUCGUCACCAUAUUGAAUGGACAGCAACCUUUUCCACCUCAGCCGGACAGCAUACAUCGGCUAUCCCUCCGAAACAGCAAGGGAGAGCACGGCAUACCUCAGGCUACCAAGAGGUUGCCUCAUGUGAGGACACUGUUCGUAUCCUCGCGUGUUAAUUCAAUGCCACCCCUCUCCAUCUUUCCAGUUCUACGUGUCUUGGAACUAGAGCAGUGCACGAGAUAUAACAUCAGAGGUGUGGAAAAAUUGCUUCACUUGAGGUAUCUGAGGCUAAGCCAGGCAUACCAUUAUUACUAUGAUGUUUGCAUUAAGCUUCCAGAAGAAAUAGGAAAUCUACAGUUUUUGCAGACACUUGACCUCAAGGAAGCCAGGAUAAAAGAAUUGCCAUCCACAGUGGUUCGUCUCAGGCAAGUGAGGGUGCUAGAGAUUUCACUCCGUAAAUGGGACAAGAGGUGUGAGGAGCGUUUGAUCCAGUGUUUGUGCAAUCAGAAGCAGCUUGAAGCUCUUUAUAUAUUCGCUCCAGAUUAUUCACUGGAUUUCAUGUUGCGGGUCAACUGGGCCCCUUCGCACCUCCAAAGAUUUACCGUAUGUGCUCGCCAGAAUGAAGAAAAUGCAUCCCUCACUGCAUUUGUACACUGGUUGGCGUUUAGCCCACUCUCCACACUACCAAAGUGGAUCAACUCAUCGCUUUCACACCUCUCCAACCUAUCCAUUGUGGUGAAGAUACUGCUCAAGGAGGAUCUCUGCAGUCUCGGGUGCUUGCCUGCCCUUCGUUCUCUUUAUUUGCAAGUGAUAGAAGCCCCAACAAAAGAAAGGUUGGAGAUCACAGAGAGAACUGGUGGUCAUGCGAUAGCAUUCUGUUGCCUUGUAAACUUCAGGUUCAUGAGUCGUGCAAUGGGCCUGGUGUUCAGACCAGGAGCUAUGAAGGGGCUGCAGCGGCUUUCUCUUACUUUUGAUGUUGCACAGACAAAGGAUGUUUAUGUUGAUUUCAACUUGGGCUUGGAGAAUCUUACCUCCCUUCAAGCUUUGGACGUUGAACUAGACUGUCGCUGUGCAACAACUUCAGAGGUGCAGGCAGCGGAGGAUGCAACCUACUUGAAUGCCAACCAUCCCACCUUUCAUGUGAGCAGACAUUUUACAGAAGAAAUGCGAUGUGAUCAUGUGGAGGAGACCCCUGAUCUGGGAACAAUGAGGAUAGAGGAUGCUGGACUUGCAAGGAUUGGGCCAUGUGGUGAAGGAGGGGGGAGGGCCUGUGACAUCAAGGCGGUACCCCAGCGCCUAGAAAGCGUCACAAUUUACAGCGGCUCUUUGGUAGAAUCAUUUGCAUUUUCAUACAGAGACCACGACGGGCAGCAUCAUAUCGCCGGUCCAUGGGGCAGCCAUCCUGGCAAGAACAAUAACGAUGUUAUCCAUCUUGAGCCUUCAGAGUUUCUCAAGGAAGUCUCUGGAACGGUGGGUUCUUACGGUGCAUUAACCAAUGUCAUAACGUCCCUUACAUUGGUCACGAGUGCUUGCACCUAUGGACCUUUUGGAAAAGGAGAUGGGAUUCCGUUUAGCAUGGCAGCAGCGAGCAAUAGCAGCAUCGUUGGCUUCUUUGGGCGUUCAGGGUGGUAUCUUGACGCCAUCGGUGUCUACACUUGCCCACUCUGACUGUGAUUCACCGAAGCCAGUAAACGGAGGAUACUAACUACUGGCGACAGGCGGUGAGGUUUCAGUGUUCCACAGGCAAAGGAACGUCCUCUGAAGAUGGCUUCGCUAUCAUCGACUCAAAUCAGUACUACAUAUCCACGCGUUUUGGAGAAUAGAGCAAUUUUCAAUGGUUCCUCUAGUGCUACCCAAGUACCUCCAGAAAGAGCACAUCAAGACCAAAGUUCACACAUCCCAACCUCAUCUGCUCCACCACUUGGUCCUAACACAAUGAGAAAGAAAAAAACAUCAGCUCCAACAGCAACAGCAUCAACAGUUUCAACGGCAGCUCCAAGAGCACCAGCAAGGGCAUCAAGAAGGGGAUUCAAUGCACCUAGAACAUCCACUGGAGCCGUUGUGAUAUUAUCAGGCAAGAGGAAGAGGAAACCUACUAGCAGGUUUGAAGCCUAUUUCAAUGCAAGUGGAAACCAUUAAAACUGUGAUUGAUGGUUUGUACUAAGAUGAAUUUGAUGUACUAAGAUUGAUGGUUUGUAUUAAGAUGAAUUUGAUGUACUAAGAUA